AACGAACGCUGGCGGCAUGCCUAACACAUGCAAGUCGAACGAGACCUUUGGGUCUAGUGGCGCACGGGUGCGUAACGCGUGGGAAUCUGCCCUUGGGUUCGGAAUAACAGUGAGAAAUUGCUGCUAAUACCGGAUGAUGUCUUCGGACCAAAGAUUUAUCGCCCAGGGAUGAGCCCGCGUAGGAUUAGCUAGUUGGUGGGGUAAUGGCCUACCAAGGCGACGAUCCUUAGCUGGUCUGAGAGGAUGAUCAGCCACACUGGGACUGGGACACGGCCCAGACUCCUACGGGAUGCAGGAGUGGGUGAUAUUGGACAAUGGGCGCAAGCCUGAUCCAGCAAGGCCGCGUGAGUGAUGAAGGCCUUAGGGUUGUAAAGCUCUUUUACCAGGGAUGAUAAUGACAGUACCUGGAGAAUAAGCUCCGGCUAACUCCGUG
rnacentral:rRNA from 1 species